rnacentral:rRNA from 1 species
CCUACGGGAGGCAGCAGUGAGGAAUAUUGGUCAAUGGGCGAGAGCCUGAACCAGCCAAGUCGCGUGAGGGAGUACUGCCCUAUGGGUUGUAAACCUCUUUUGUCGGGGAGCAAAAGCCGGACGUGUCCGGCUGUGAGAGUACCCGAAGAAAAGGCAUCGGCUAACUCGGUGCCAGCAGCCGCGGUAGUACGAAGGAUGCGUGCGUUAUCGGGAUUUAUUGGGUUUAAGGGGUGCGCAGGGGGAAUUUUAAGUCAGCGGUCAAGUCGUGGGGCUCAACCCAAUCCAGCCGUUGAAACUGGGGAUCUAGAGUGUGCGAGAGGUAUGCGGAAUGCGUGGUGUAGCGGUGAAAUGCGUAGAUAUCACGCAGAACCCCGAUGGCGAAGGCAGCAUACCGGUGCACAACUGACGCUCAGGCACGAAAGCGUGGGUAGCGAACAGGAUUAGAUACCCUAGUAGUC